GUCAACGACCAUAUGCUGAACAUACCGGUUCUCGUCCAAUCUCCGAAGUCAAGCAGCAUAGGGUCUGGUCAGUACUAAGAUGGGAGGAACUUCGGGAACACUGGGUGUUGUAGGCU
rnacentral:rRNA from 1 species